UACGAAGGGGGCUAGCGUUGUUCGGAAUGACUGGGCGUAAAGGGCGCGUAGGCGGUUUGAUAAGUUUGGUGUGAAAGUCCUGGGCUCAACCUGGGGAUUGCACUGGAAACUGUUAGACUAGAGAUCGAGAGAGGAAAGUGGAAUUGCGAGUGUAGAGGUGAAAUUCGUAGAUAUUCGCAAGAACACCGGUGGCGAAGGCGGUUUUCUGGCUCGAACCUGACGCUAAGGCGCGAAAGCGUGGGGAGCAAACAGGAUUAGAAA
rnacentral:rRNA from 1 species